AUGACAGAUAUAGCAACCCUGAAUGAGCAGCAGGUUUUGGAAAACUUCAGGCCAACCAGGGAGCAAAUUCAUGAUUUAUAUGCCCUGUUGCAAGACAGGCUGCAAAGCUGUGGUUUUUCAAUUUUGCAUAACCAGACAUUUCCUCCCCAGUCUCAGCUGAUGUACAUAUUACAUUGUGCAGGUGACAUCAGUCUGUAUCUGAGCUCUCUCAGUAACACAAAGAUGCUUUAUCCAAUUUAUCUGCUGUGUUUAUUGUUGUGCUAUAUUCAGUGUUCCUGGGGACAAAUUGUGCUGACUCAGUCUGCAGAUGUCACUGUGUCACCUGGUGAAAGUGUCACCAUGACAUGUAAAGCCAGUAGUAGUGUUAGCGGCUACUUAGCCUGGUACCAACAGAAUCCAGGACAACCUCCAAUGCUUCUUAUCUAUGAUACAAACACCAAACACACAGGGACCCCAGACAGGUUCAGCGGCAGUGGGUCUGGUACAGAUUACACUCUCACAAUCAGCGGAGUGCAAGCAGAAGAUGCAGCAGAUUAUUACUGUCAGCAGGGCUACAGCUUCCCUCUCACAGUGAUACAGAGCUGUACAAAAACCUUCCUCUUUUGGUUUUUAGCUCUAAACACUAGGAAGUACAAAUUGAAUAUUGUAUUUUGA